AUGGGGAUGUCCCCAACAAUUGUAUCAGCAAAUGCCAUCUCAAGUGACAGUGCCAGGCCAUGGCUAGAGGAGAACGUGUUUGCCGGGCAGUCAAAGAUCUAUUCCUAUAUGAGCCCCAACAAAUGCGCUGGAAUGCGUUCCCCCCUUCAGGAAGAGAACUCAGUUGCACAUCAGGAAGUCAAGUACCAGGGGAAACCAUUAGCCGGAAUCUACAAGAAGCGAGAAGAGAAAAGAAAUGCUGGGAACACGAUACGAAGCACCAUGAAAUCAGAGGAACAAAAGCUCAAAGAUGCCAGGAGAAGUCCCCUGGCACCUUUUCCAAACCAAAAAUCCGAAGCAGCAGAACCUCCAAAAACUCCACCCUCUUCCUGUGAUCCUACCAAUGCAGCUGUUGCCAAGCAAGCCCUGAAAAAGGCUCUCAAAGGCAAACCGGCUCCUCGGAAAAAAAAGUUCAAGGAAAAACACAACAGAAUCGAAAACUCACAGACUUCUACCCAGUUCGAAAGAGCUCCAGGAAGAGCAAAGCUGAGCUGCAGUCGGAAGAAAGGAGACGGAUAGAGGAGCUCAUUGACAGCGGGAAGGAAGAGGGCAUGAAGAUCGACCUUACUGACGGCAAAGGCAGGGGUGUGAUUGCCACCCCGCGGUUCUCCCGGGGAGACUUCGUGGUGGAGUACCGCGGGGACCUCAUUGAGAUCACUGACGCCAGGAAGAGAGAGGCGCUGUAUGCUCAGGACCCCUCCACAGGCUGCUACAUGUACUACUUCCAGUACCUGAGCAAAACCUACUGUGUGGACGCCACUCGGGAGACAAACCGCCUGGGGAGACUGAUCAAUCACAGCAAGUGUGGGAACUGCCAGACCAAACUGCACGACAUGGCCGGCGUGCCUCACCUCAUCCUCGUGGCCUCCGCGAUAUCGAGGCGGGGGAGGAGCUGCUGUACGACUACGGCGGCCGCAGCAAGGCCUCCAUAGAGGCCUACCCGUGGCUCCAGCUACGACUACGGCGGCCGCAGCAAGGCCUCCAUAGAGGCCUACCCGUGGCUCCAGCACUGACCGCACCGCCCUCCUGUGCAGGACUAAGUGCCCUCAAAGGGAAAGGAUUUUUUUUUACACAUUUAAUCUUAGCAGAUUACUUCAGAUGUUUUUUUUUAAGUAUAUUAAGAUGCCUUCUCACUGUAGUAUUUAAUAUCUGUUUCCAGGUUCCUGAGUGGGCUUGA